rnacentral:rRNA from 1 species
AAUAGAUACCCAGGUAGUCCACGCCGUAAACGAUGAGUGCUAAGUGUUAGAGGGUUUCCGCCCUUUAGUGCUGCAGCAAACGCAUUAAGCACUCCGCCUGGGGAGUACGGUCGCAAGACUGAAACUCAAAGGAAUUGACGGGGGCCCGCACAAGCGGUGGAGCAUGUGGUUUAAUUCGAAGCAACGCGAAGAACCUUACCAGGUCUUGACAUCCCGUGACAACUCUAGAGAUAGGGCUUUCCCCUUCGGGGGACACGGUGACAGGUGGUGCAUGGUUGUCGUCAGCUCGUGUCGUGAGAUGUUGGGUUAAGUCCCGCAACGAGCGCAACCCUUGAUCUUAGUUGCCAGCAUUCAGUUGGGCACUCUAAGGUGACUGCCGGUGACAAACCGGAGGAAGGUGGGGAUGACGUCAAAUCAUCAUGCCCCUUAUGACCUGGGCUACACACGUGCUACAAUGGAUGGUACAAAGGGCAGCGAAACCGCGAGGUUAAGCCAAUCCCAUAAAACCAUUCUCAGUUCGGAUUGCAGG